CAAACGUAACAAUUGGGGAAUCACCCAUUGACCUACAUCGACAACCUUUAUCAACAGACCUCUUAAGGUCCAAUCUGGUAGUGUUGAAAUGAACUUUUAACUGCCAAAUAACAUUGAGCAGUCUAAACAGAGGCAAAAACGCAGGUUUGGGUGGCGCUACAGGAGAAUGAACUGCGGGGAUAAUGGAAGGACAGUUUAGAUUCACAAAGUGCUUGGCCAAUCAGGCGAUGAGUCAGUCGUGCUGUGUGAGAACACUUGGUUCCACCGAAUAAAAAAGGGAGGAGGGUGGUGUAAUGGGUACCAGGAUCCAGAAUGCAAUCAGGGAGCUUUGUGCUGUACAGCAAUAUGAUGAAGUGAUUUCUUCUGUUCACCAUUCGUCCUAGUACUCGAGCACUGUGAAAAGGCUACACUCCCGCACUCCUUCACGAGCCACGUCCGAUCACUUCCACACGAGCAAGACGGGCGGGAAGUUCACCUCCAUUAAUGAAAGAGUCCCUUAUCAGUGACUGAAAGGACGUGAGCCCAAGGGCAAACCGAUUCCCCAGAAGACGGAGCAAGAAGCACUUUUCACAUCGCUAAUUACACAUCUGCCGCAAUUACCUCUCUGUACAUCAUUUUUGCAAUUACAGAAAAGCUAAUUGUGAAAUUAGCCAUUUUUCACUGCGGUGAGAAUCACGGUCCAGAUGUUUAGCAGAGAAAAACGGGGACCCUGAACACAUCGAUGGGGCGAGAAAGCUAGCGUUACUCGUCAAAAGGCUAAGGAUGUCUGCGGUCGUGGACAACAAGAUAUUCUCGGUAUCUAUUCACCAGGUACCUUGUGCAGACAGAGACAUAAGAGAAAUGAACGCUUGGCAGUUGGCCGACCAGAAAAAAAUAAAAAUCGACCUGGCUGCGUUUGCGCCCCGCGGCAGAAAUGAAAGUCUGGACAAGCCUCCUGCCAAGGAGACACAGUACAUUUCAGCCAAUCAGAGGGGAAACUCAUAAUCAACUGAAUUAUCUCACCUACAUCCUACCGGACAGAAGCCUACUACAGAUCCCACCUAGAUCCUACCAGACAGAAGCCUACUACAGAUCCCACCUACAUCCUACAAAACAGAAGCCUACAACAGAUCCCACCUACAUCCUACCAGACAGAAGCCUACUACAGAUCUCACCUACAUCCUACCAGACAGAAGCCUACUACAGAUCUCACCUACAUCCUACCAGACAGAAGCCUACUACAGACUUGAAGUAAACCAGUAAGGUGUGUAGGUCUAGUAGUUAACCCGGUGAAUGAAUACCUUCUAUUGAAUGGGUCAAUAUUCUUGAUUAUCAAAAUAAAAACAUAUUUCCUCA